AAUAGAUACCCCGGUAGUCCAUGCUGUAAACGAUGAGAACUAGAUGUUAGGGGGCAUGACCUCUUAGUAUCGAAGCUAACGCGAUAAGUUCUCCGCCUGGGGAGUACGGCCGCAAGGUUAAAACUCAAAGAAAUUGACGGGGGCCCGCACAAGCGGUGGAGCAUGUGGUUUAAUUCGAUGCAACGCGAAGAACCUUACCUACCUUUGAAUCCACGGAACCUAGCAGAGAUGUUGGGGUGCCUUCGGGAACCGUGAGACAGGUGCUGCAUGGCUGUCGUCAGCUCGUGUCGUGAAAUGUUGGGUUAAGUCCCGUAACGAGCGCAACCCUUGUCCUUAGUUGCCAUCAGGUUAUGCUGGGCACUUUAAGGAGACUGCCGGUGAUAAACCGGAGGAAGGUGGGGAUGACGUCAAGUCCUCAUGGCCCUUACAGGUAGGGCUACACACGUGCUACAAUGGGCAGUACAGAGGGAAGCCAACCCGCGAGGGGGGAAGCGAAUCUCAUAAAGCUGUUCGUAGUCCGGAUUGGAGUCUGCAACUCGACUCCAU
rnacentral:rRNA from 1 species